UACGUAGGGUCCGAGCGUUGUCCGGAAUUAUUGGGCGUAAAGGGCUCGUAGGCGGUUCGUCACGUCGGGAGUGAAAACUCGGGGCUUAACCCCGAGCCUGCUUCCGAUACGGGCAGACUAGAGGUAGGCAGGGGAGAUUGGAAUUCCUGGUGUAGCGGUGAAAUGCGCAGAUAUCAGGAGGAACACCGGUGGCGAAGGCGGAUCUCUGGGCCUUACCUGACGCUCAGGCGCGAAAGCUAGGGGAGCGAACAGG
rnacentral:rRNA from 1 species